CUAAUAACACCUGUGUGUGGCAAGGCAGCUUUUCAGCAGCUAUUGUCACAGCAUUCUCAUCUGUGCAGUGCUGAGCUGCUGCUGCGUGGCCCCCUCGGAACUGCUCAAGCAGGAGCCAUCCUCGGAGGGCACGUAAUUAACAGGUGAUGCAAAACAAUAUGCUGUUAAAAAAAUAUGAGCGACAAGCCUUCUAACUAGGGGGAUGCUCAGGGAUGCGCAGGCGAUGAGUUUGCCAUGCCUCUAUAGGAGUGGUGCCUGCAGGCAUCCGAGGGGCAGUGCAUUUUGGCCUUUGUGUUAGCUCUGCAUCUCAAUCCUUGGUGGGCACCCACCUCCUUUGGACCUGGGAAGCUCAGGUGGGGCCCAAAUCCAUCUCCCCAUUGGGUGAAUGAAUGAAUGAAGUGCCGUUCCCAGAUGGUGGAGUGGUUUGGCCAGGGAAUAGAAGAGCAGCACGGCAAACAUCUCCAUGUCCAGCCCUGCGUGAUGCAGCUCUGCAGAGCCCCCUGUAACCCAGGGCAUUUAUGCAGAACCCUCCGGGCACUUCCCUUCAGCUCAGCCAAUGCUUUCAGGCUUCGAAUUUCCCUCAUCUCUCAGAGUACAUUAAAAAAAUCAAUGUAAUUACACAGCAAACAUUAAUUAUGAUCAAAAAUGCAGCUGAGAGGGAUUGAUCUGGAGGAGAUCGCAAGGCUGUAGCUAGCCACAGAACUGCCAAAAAAUCAGCUCAACGAGGCUGAGGCCACGGGGAUGUGUGGCCUGUCUGAGCAGCAAGGCGUCCUUGGAGACACCUGGACUGUGGUUUCUGCCUCUGAUUUCUCUUAUGGCAAGCACAGGGAUGGGUGAGCUCCAUGGGGAUGGAGCAGCUUCCUGGUCACCACAGCCGCAUCAGUGAGGUGAGUGGUGCAGAGCCCUCUCAGAUAUUACUGUAAAGCAUAUGGACAACUCUGCCUGGCAAUUUGCUCAACAGUAAAGCCAUCUUCAUCUCCAGCUUCUUCCCUUAGACUCCAGUAGGUUCUUGGAGCUCUCCAGGGAUGAGGCUCCCCUGUACCCUGCGCUGUCUUUUGGCCAUCCUGAUUCUUAGGAAGCUGUCCCUGAGCAUCUCACUCAACUUGGCUGCACUUCAAGCCUAUUAGAAAUUGUCCAACCAGCCACCAAUUGAUCACCAUCACUUUAUAACUGCCCUUUCCAUUCUGGAUGAAUGUUACACACUGUCUCGCUCUCAGUCUCUGUCCUGGAACACAAACCCAGCUCCUUCAGUCCAUCUUCCUGGAGCAUGUUUUUCCAAACACUCUGAACUCUCUCAAUUUGUCUGAAUUUCUCUGAAAGUUGUAAUGGCCAAACCUGGAGAUAUGUAUCUCCUGCUGUUGCCUUACCAGCACUGAAUAGAGCCAAAUAAAUUACCUUGCUGUCUUCCAUCUGAAACUAUUAAUACAUCUCCAGGCAAGAUGUGCCUUUUCUUUCCUAAAGCAUCAGGUUAUUGUCUGCUGCUCAGUUUGAGGGCUACUCUGCUGCCUGAGCCUUGGCUGCUCUCCUGCUGGCAUACCAGUUCUUCCCCAUCUUACAUCUGCGAUUUUGAUAUCGCCUUCCUAAGUGAAGCACUUUGCACUUGACUUUAUUGAAUUUCAGUGUAUUGAUUUCAAGCCAUUUCUUCAAUUUAUCAAAAUCAUUUUGCUCUGAGGAAUCUUGCAGCAGCUUGUCUUGCAUCUGCUCUGUUGACAAAAGGUCUUUAGUCCUCAAGGCUAUCAAGCCAGGACUGCAUAGUAGUCCUUAAAAUAGCCAGAAAGUACCAUUUGAGAGGCAUGGGGACAACAGAAGAUAGAGGUUUUAGGCUGGUUUGCACAGAAAUGGACACACGGUGCAGAAACAGCAGGAGGAGAUGGGGUGAAGCACUGCGAGCACUGUGGGAACACUACUGAGUCCUGGGGUGAGAGCAGGGCUGCGAGAUGCUGGGACCCUGCUGCUGGCCUGGGUACAGCCCUGGAUGGAUUGGGGGUGGUGGAGGGUUGAGCCCUGGGGUUUAAUGGUGUCUUUUUUUUUUCAAGCCUGUGUGUGAUGAGCUGCCCCAUUGCCCCCUUGGGGCUUGCAUGGGGACAUCCUGCAGCACCAGAUGUUAAUGGCACUGCGUGGGGACAGCAAAACCUGAGCUAAGAGACUGGAGUCCAUCAGCCAGGCGGAAGGCGAAGCGGCCGAGCUUCAGCUGCACACACAGCAGGAGGGAGGGGGAACGCGCCGGGAGCGAGAUGCAAACAGACCCAGGGAGGGGGAAAGCAGAGGCGUCGUGGAAGGGCUGGAAGAGAAAAUGGUUUCCUUGGAAAAAGGCUGGCAAGCCUCAGCUGGAAAGGGACAGCGAGGGAGAGAUGAGAGAGCUGCUCCGCGUUGGAGAGAGAAGAGGAGCAUGGUUUGGGAACAUGCAGCCCAUGCUGAUUGCAUGUGGGCAUCCUCCUGCAGGCUCCAGCUCAACACUGAGCAGAGCCGUAUCACCAGAAAGACAAAGAGUGAGAAAACAACUUCAUUAUCUCUGUGCUGUGACCUCCAGUGCAAGCCACUCAGUGUGUGGCUCCCCUGCAUUGUGCACAAAGAUCAAUGGAAGGAAGCAUGGAGCUGAGAAGACACCGUUGCGUUAACGAGCAGAAAUAAAGCCACUUGUAGAGGAUGCUGCUUCCAUAGGAUGGGAUUUCACCCCACGUUUCCUCACGUAUGGGCUGUGUCAGUCCCGAGUCCGCAACAUUAUGCCAUGCAAAACAAAGAGGGAAUAAAUGCUGGGAACCAGUGCCCUGGUAGAACUGGACCUGCACCACGGGAUGUGCUACUGGGAAGCAUCCCAUGGUGAGGACUGCCCCAUCCCACCUCGCUCUGAGAGCAAGGGCAAGGAGUAAGACAUCAGUGGGAUCAUUAAUUUCAUUGUGGGUUUACAAGCAGUGAAAUCUGCUCCUUCCUCUCUGCAGAGUCAGCAGCUCCCCCCACCAUGUAUUACAUUUUAUUCUGUAAGUGCAAAGUGAUUUCCAUUGAGGGUAGGGACACUGAAGCACAGAGAAAAAGGAGAAUAAUAUCUUAUCUUCCUUUAAUCCCCACCAUCCCAAAGGGUCGCAGUGCCGUUAGCUUCCCUUUCUAUACGUACGCACAGUUAAUUAGCAUUGCUAGAGAACUGCAGGUAUUCUCAGACUUAGUGGAGGGAAUAUCUUGUAAUAGGACGGUAAGCAAAUUGUUUCUGCUGUUUCUAUUACAGCCAGCUUUGAUUAUCCGGGGUAAUGGGAUAACAGGGAUAAAGCAAAAACAUGGAUAACAUGAAACCUAUGCAAAUGAAGCUGAGAAAAAAGUGAUGCUGAGAGUAAUGGAGGAAAGAAAGGUCAGCAAUGCUGAUGAAGGAGCGUGGAGAUCCCUGUGCUAGCACUGCCAUGAGCUCACAAACCCAUGCAUAAUGGUACCUGGGUUCACAGAAUUACAGAAUCACUGAAUGGCCAGGGUUGGAAGGGACCUCAAGGAUCACGAAUCUCCAACCCCCCUGCCACAUGCAGGGCCACCAAGCUCCCCAUUUAAUACCAGCCCAGGCUGCCCAGGUUUGGGUGCUUCUGCCCCGGGCAUGGAGCUGCUCAAGAGAAGCUGUGGGAUGAGGGUGGCCUUGCAGAUCCAUAGGUCCUGGCCCUAUAGGUGGAGCAGAGAUCUUCCCUGGAUGGUACAGCCAAGUUACAGCCCAGGGAGGGGAGCUGCAUUAAAGCCAAGCACUUCAAAGCCUCCACAUGAGGGAUAUGUCAUUAAAAUAAAUAAGAUUUGGGCACCCAACCCUCCUCCUCCUUACACAAGCAGGAAGAAGCCCAAUUUAAAGGUCAGCAUCUUAAAAUCUUUCGCUGUGUAUAUACCAGGAUAACUCAGCUCCAAACAGAAACCCCACACCCGCUUGAUGAGCCACUCUUUGUAGGAGCGUGGCAGGAGCAUUGAGAGCCCAAUCAGUGCAAGGAUAGGGGCAGUGAUAAAGCAGGAGGGGAGAUAACAGAGGAGCUCCAUAAAGAUCCAGCCCCAACCACAUCUGCUUGUGCAGAGGACCAGCCCAGCAGCCCUUGAGUUGCUCUGUAGGCCCCCAUCCUUAAAGGGGAAUUUCAAAUCCAUAACACCAACGUCAUGGAGGCAGCUCUGCGAAAUCUCUGGUGGUGGUGGGUGGAUGGAAAGGGCACCCGUGGAGAUGAGCCAGAAAGAAAAGAAGGAGGAAUCUUGGAGGAAGACUAACCUUCUUAAUAGGUUUUAUUGAUUUAACCCAAAGAGAGAACAGUAGGGGGAAAUUUAUGCCAUUUAAAUGCAAACCAGCAAUAAAAAUAAUCAUUAGAGUCAUAAUCUCAAUCUGUUAGCAUUUUAUGUAGAAAUGAGCUUAAUGGGAAAUGUUUUCCAUGUAAACUAUUUGCAUUUACUUAGUACGAAUAAGCCUCUUAAAUAUAAUUCAGUCAUUACCACUGAGUUUUAUUAAGAGGUUGGUUUGGGUCCUAAUUGCUUUAAAGUGUCUGUCUUGGGAAAGUUGCUGGCCUGCCCCAGCCAGGAUUUAAUGUUCAUAUCCCCGUUCUUGUUUCCACACUGAGAAUACAUGUGGAUUUUGAUGGCGUUCAGAAAACGUCACUCUUCACCCAAACUGCACUGAGAUUUUGGGACUGACCAAGGAGGGGCUGCAUUUCUCAGUCGGAUAGUGGGGUCUUUUCAGAGGAAAAGUAACUUCAGAGCACAUUUCCAGGCCCUUCAUUUCCUAGAAACAGCGAGAAGCAUCUGACAAUCUUUCUUAGUAGCUUCCUCCCUAGUAAAAUAAGAGGACAACAUAGUCCCCUGGGAGGGGAAAUCAGAGGUGCCCAGCAGCUCCAAAGAGGCUUUUUCUGGCCACUGCCCUGCCCCCAGGAUCAGUCCCCAUGGGGACAUGGCUCUGUCCAUGUGCAGAUGCUCCAGGGAUGUCACCAGCCCUGUGCCACCCACGCCACGCACACCUCACCCACAAAGAGAGAAAUAAAUACCCUCUUCUGCCUGGGGACACCUUUUAAUCUUCUUGCCAGAUUUUCAUGCCCCAGUCUGGAGGCUCAGUGGGGCCAGCCAUGAUCUCAUUUUGCAUCCCACCCACGGGGCUCUGCACAGCUGAGCCUGCUGCUUGUGCCACGUGCCUAUAGGGGCUGGGGUUGCUGCUUCAUAGCAUCCCAUCCCUCCACAACAGCCCAAAUCCUAUCCCACAAGGAAAAGCAUCCUAUGGAGGGAGCAGUAGUGAUGCAACCAAGGGCUGGACCUUGCUGGUGGCAGGACACACACAGACACCACAAGCAGUGGCUCUCCAGGAUGCCAUGGCAGAUGCUGCCACGCAGGGCUCAAAGGGUGGAUGGUGCUGCCUGGCACAGCACUCCAUUGGGCCAGGUGACACUGCCCACCUGGUGCAUUUGGGGUUUCAGAUCUCUUCCAGACGAGCCCCCAGAUUUUGCAAAAAGCUGGGUAACUUCAGGAUGUGUGUGAGGUUACCCUCACCGGGCUCAGCUAAGAGUAAUCAGAGCUUCAGGCCAUAAGCCGAUUCCCUGUGCAUCUCAGGAAGGAAUUAGCCCUGUCUCCCCCGCCCCACACCACCAUGCAGCAUUUGCACAGCUCAAAGGACAUGAAUCCCAGUGCAGAUUUUGUCCCAGGGUGACAAGGGCCCUAUGAGAGGCAGAGGAACCCCAUGUCAGCCACCAUCCCCCCCUCUCCGAGGCUUCUGCCUCAUUUCUCCCCCACUUCUGCUUCUGCUGGCAGCAGGAAUUCCUCUGUGUUUGCUGAGCAACGUGUUGCAGUCUGCAACAGCUCACCCUGGCUGGAAGCUCAUCCUUGUAUGUAAAUACUGUGUGCAACCGUGUCUUCAUUUCAUGUUAUGGAAGUGCAUCCAAAGCAGCUAAGCAGGCUUUCUCUGCAGUGUGGAUGAUGUAAAUGAUUCAAAUUUAACAUGUGGUUACAUGGUCUGAAGAUUUCAUUGAGCUUUCAGGUUGGAUGGCACUGUAACUGCAGUCCGGCCUCCUGGCUGCUGAAUUUUGCCCGGGGGUUUAAAGCGAGUUGGGCUCUUAAGCUCCAACCUUCUGAUGCACAAUGAGUCCAGUUUGUAAGCAGGAGAAGUGGCUGCUGCAGGCAGGUGGAUCACAACCCACCUGAAAACCAAAGAUCAGAACCUUGCCCAGCAGCUCUGAAGGGCGGCAGGCUCUGGCAGACAGCACAUCCACAGACUGGGUUAUUUUGCUAUAGUGUGUUUGACUUGCGAAGUGAAGGUAAUGAAUGGUUCUGAGGUCAAAGCCGUGAAUCAAAAGCAAUAUUGUUAUCACUGCUUCCAUCUGUAAGCCUUGCUAUUCAGAAGCCAGCGCUGUCACAGAACAGCAAGACAAGUGAUUGCCUGGGGUCUGCCAGGUGGGUCACUGAGACAGACUGGGACUAAGGGACUGCUGAGGAGAGAUGUGGCACCAGCAGCCCAGGACCCACCCCACAUCCCUGCCCCAGUCCUGGGUGGCGCUGGCACGGGGAUGAGGAGCUGGGAAGGAGCUGCAUGUCCCCGUGCCCAAUGCCUUGUGCCACGUGGCAGAUUCCCAAGCAGCUGGGAGAGGACGAUGAUUUCUAUUGCCAGUUUUCUAAUUUAUCUAAUGAGCAAGAAAAUAAAUCAAGCUGACGGUCACCCAGGUGGUUCUGAGCUUCUGCUGGCUCCUCACAGUCCCCUUGUUCCUCCAGCCCAUUUGAUAGCAGGGUUAUAACCUGAGGACGUGGCAGUAAUUCCUGCUAUAAUCUUUUCUUUCCUAACGUCACUUAGCAGAUGGAGUCAUUUAGAGGUGCUCAUGUUUAUAUGAGCGCUUGCCCUGAAAGGGACGGAGCCGGGGAUGCUGGCAAGAUGUUUGGGAUCGUUAGCCUAGAAAAUGCUUAGCAGGGGAAGCAGUUGGCAGGCAGAUUUCACGGACAUGGCACCGGCAUCUUCUGCCAGCAAAAUUACAAGGCUGAAAUCCUGGAGCUGGAUGGGGCCAAACUGUUCACAGCAAACAAUUUAAUUGAUGAAUGAAGUGGAUUGCCCAGGAGAUGGUUUUCAGUCAUCUGCUCAUUGCACGAAGCCACUUGGAGGAAGAGCCAUGCCAUCGGGUGUCACCAGCUGCCCAUGUAGGCAUGGGCCGGCUGGGGGUCCCCAACCCCACACUCUCCUGGACCUCUGCCCCCCAAGUGAACAGCCCAGUGCCAUGAGCACAGCCACCUCCAAGCUUGUCUGCUUCAUCUCACCAAAUGCAUUAUGCUUGCCUACAGAUCCUGCUGCUAUCAGGUCACUGCAGCUAGAGCCACGACGCUACCAUGCUGAAGGUGUCAGAGCUGGUUUGAAUGGGCCCCUACACAACAUGAAAAAGAACAACGCCAAACUAAACAGCAACACUUCCUUGCCAGCCUCUGCAAGAAGUGAGGUGGCAGCCUCAGAGGAUUCUCCUCUCCAGCCCUCUGACCCCCUGCACAAUACCACAUUGCUACCAGCAUAGGCUUCUUUCAUUUGGUCUAAUAGAGUAAACUACCUCUCCAUCUCCUCAAAAGUGAAUAGCCAUGAAAAUGUACAUUGAGAUGAAAGUUUACAACCCUUGAAAAUAUCCUCUUGCUUGUGAAAGGGCUUCUGAGAAAGGAACACAAGGGACAAUGAUUGCCAAGGAAGGGGGAGAUACUGCUCAUGCUGCUGGGCAGCAUUUGACUCGUCCCAUGCAGAGGUUGGGCAGAAGAAGGAGGAAGGAGACAAAGGGUUGAGACCUGCAGCUGCAGUCACUGCCCUAUAGGAACAGCGUCUCAGUGUCCACAGAGACCAAUCCCAAAUUAUUCAGUGUGUUCUUAAACACUUAUUCUGCUGCUUUCUGGCCUGCACAGUGUUUCUCUGCAAGUCCCAUUUUACAUCUUUGGUAAUUUGGUGCAGGUAUAACACUCAAUUGUGAAGACCCAGCAGGAGCCUUUGAUGCAGGCAUCUUCAAGACGUAGGGCUUAUGAGUUCAAAUAACACAACUGUCUUUUAUCUUUGGUGUCCCAAGCUGUUCUGGCACUCAUAUUUGUCAUUUGUUGCCUGGCUCUGGGUCUGGUUCCAGCAGGACACUCACCGCUGUCCAUCUGCCUGCAUUGCUGGCAUUUCUGUGUCCACCCAAGGGACCUGAGUGCCUAUGCUCUGCUUAUCUUUGCAUCCUCAUUGGCCAAAAGUCACUUUGAAAGCAAGCCCUGGCAGCUGUAGACUUGUAGGUGCAUUCAAACAAUGAGCCCCAACCCAAGCUGCUCCCAGCAACGACUGCACCCUCUGCAUCCCAAACGGCCUUCAGCAGUGCCCAAACACCCAGCACUACCAUUCCGCUCAUGGACCCGCACGCCUUUCACCAGCACUGCAUUUUCUUCAAAAGAGGAUAAACGAGGUAAAAGAAGAAAAGGUGAAAACAUGAUAAUAGCUGUGGGAAAAGGCCACUGCUAUAGAUUUGACAAUGCUGGAAAUGGAGGCUCUGAGAAAAGUUCUUCUGCUGAAAUUAUUCUUUUCAAUCUCAACAGCACACCGAAGAAAAGUUUAAGCACACUUUUUAACACCUUUUGUACUCAAAUUCCAAAUUCACUUGUCUACCCAAGCAAUAACAGGAAUAAUCUUUUUUUAUCCAGCUGCACAUUCUGCUGUCAAAAUUUGUUUCCAUUAAACUGUUCCCUUUUGUCCUCUUAAAAAGCAUAUUUUAAAUAAUAACAGUGCAAAAAAAAAAUAAAAUUAUACACUAUCCAAAAACUCAACCCUGUCGACUGUGCACUUUUAUACAAAAGUUAUCUCCUUCUCUCGAUGAACUGAUGAAAACCCUUUUCAUAAUGCUGAGGUGGAGAUGAGAAAGAGGAAGAAUACUUCUCAGUGUGCCCAGCACAGCCAGUCAUUUCAACAGGAAGCACAUGGCAAACUCUGGGCUUAGAAAACUAAAUUACAGCACCAGUGUGAACCCGACGUUCUUUUUUUUCUGCUUUGUAAAACACCAUUUUGUAGAAGUUGGAAUGGAGGUACACAUUGAGCUUCUCAUUCAGGGGGAAAAAAAUGCAUUUUUUUCUAUACCACUUAAAUCUUAACA